CAGGCGCUAUGAUUAGCACCCUUACUUCAAGUUUAGGUGGUGGAGGCUUAGAGAAGUGAAGCGGUUUGCCCAAGUUCCAAAGGGUGAGAAAACCAAGACCAGGAAACUGUAACAGUUCCUAGUUCAAGGCUAUCUGCCAGACCACUGUUCUUCAUCAUGUGGGUAGAAGAAACAAACUCUGCGGGGACAGAGGGCAGUGAUACAGGCUGGAACGGAAGAUGACGCCCCUCUGAAGGAGCCGACAAUCUGGGACUGAGCUCAGUACGUCCAGUGCCGCUGGCCCGGCCCGGGCUGGCAGCAAGCUCUCUGGCCCUUGGCUAGUUUUUAUGCAAGAUGGCAAGAGAGACAAGAUAAUUUUUUAGAUAACUCACAGUUUUAUCAUCUUACAAUUCUUUGGAUUGCAAUCAUAAAAAAUUCUGA